rnacentral:rRNA from 1 species
UACGUAGGGUGCGAGCGUUAAUCGGAAUUACUGGGCGUAAAGCGUGCGCAGGCGGCUUUGCAAGACAGAUGUGAAAUCCCCGGGCUCAACCUGGGAACUGCAUUUGUGACUGCAAGGCUAGAGUUCGGCAGAGGGGGAUGGAAUUCCGCGUGUAGCAGUGAAAUGCGUAGAUAUGCGGAGGAACACCAAUGGCGAAGGCAAUCCCCUGGGCCUGUACUGACGCUCAUGCACGAAAGCGUGGGGAGCAAACAGG